CAUCUGCCUGCACAACCGGAGGCUGCAUUUUCAGGACCGCAUUUCUAGGACCCUACAUUUUAGUGACAACACCACCUACCGAAUUACAGGACCAGUGACCGCAUGCUUUUCGGAAGAGAUGGACGACAUUCAGAGUAAACACAUAACAAUCCAAGAAGGAAGAUCCUUUCGUGAACUUAAGAGAUGCACCACAUGCUGCAAGGAGCUCCUCUGCCCGUUCUGCAGCUCUGCUUUGUUUCACCCAACAAAGUGGAGCAAAGUGAAAUCCCAUUUGGAAAGCCAUUUCAAAUGCAGUUCUCUAUGAAGACCAUCAUAUAUGGCCUGGCUGGGCUGCAGAAUUUCUCUGCGGGAUGUUGAGAAGGCCGCCUUCUCUGGUCCGGAUUAUCAUCACAUUAAAGUGGAAGAAAAGAGAAAAGAGGGGAGAGCAUCCAUUGGAGUCAGUGAGGACAUUGUCACUGAAGUUCUUUAUGUGUGCUUCACGUCAUGAACAAAUUUGUUUUUGUGUGUUCAACUGUUGUAAUAUAUUAUUUUAUAAAAUAUACACAAUCUUAAAUCUA